rnacentral:RNase_P_RNA from 1 species
GGUGCUGAACGGAUAGCCGCUCGCGCAAGCGGGAGGAAAGUCCGGUCUCCAUAGGGCAGCGUGCCGGCUAACGGCCGGGGGGAAUCUCUCAAAGGGAUUUUCACGGAAAGUACCACAGAAAAUACACCGCCGCACGUGCCUGGCAUGUGCGGUAAGGGUGAAAAGGUGCGGUAAGAGCGCACCGUGGACGGAGCGAUUCGUCCAGCAAGGUAAACCCCACGCGGAGCAAGACCAAAUAGGGGAGAAGGAGUGGCCCGCUCCGUUAAACUUCCGGGUAGGUCGCUUGAGCCGUGCAGUAAUGCCCGGCCCAGAUGAAUGGCUAUCGCCCGCGAGGGUACAGAAACCGGCUUACAGUUCAGCGCCUGCC